UACGAAGGGGGCUAGCGUUGUUCGGAAUUACUGGGCGUAAAGCGUGCGCAGGCGGUAAGUUAAGUCUGAUGUGAAAGCCCCGGGCUCAACCUGGGAAUGGCAUUGGAAACUGGCUUGCUAGAGUCGUGGCAGAGGGGGUGGAAUUCCGCGUGUAGCAGUGAAAUGCGUAGAGAUGCGGAGGAACACCGAUGGCGGAAGGCAGCCCCCUGGGCCGACACUGACGCUCGAGGCACG
rnacentral:rRNA from 1 species